rnacentral:rRNA from 1 species
UGGGGAAUAUUGGACAAUGGGCGAAAGCCUGAUCCAGCCAUGCCGCGUGUGUGAAGAAGGUCUUCGGAUUGUAAAGCACUUUAAGUUGGGAGGAAGGGCAGUAAGCGAAUACCUUGCUGUUUUGACGUUACCGACAGAAUAAGCACCGGCUAACUCUGUGCCAGCAGCCGCGGUAAUACAGAGGGUGCAAGCGUUAAUCGGAAUUACUGGGCGUAAAGCGCGCGUAGGUGGUUCGUUAAGUUGAAUGUGAAAGCCCCGGGCUCAACCUGGGAACUGCAUCCCAAACUGGCGAGCUAGAGUAGGGCAGAGGGUGGUGGACUUUCCUGUGUAGCGGUGAACUGCGUAGGUAUAGGAAGGAACACCAGUGGCGAAGGCGACCACCUGGGCUCAUACUGACACUGAGGUGCGAAAGCGUGGGGAGCAAACAGG